rnacentral:rRNA from 1 species
UACGUAGGGGGGCAAGCGUUGUCCGGAUUUAUUGGGCGUAAAGAGCGUGUAGGCGGCCAGACAGGUCCGUUGUGAAAACUCGAGGCUCAACCUCGAGACGUCGACGGAAACCGUCUGGCUAGAGUCCGGAAGAGGAGUGUGGAAUUCCUGGUGUAGCGGUGAAAUGCGCAGAUAUCAGGAAGAACACCUAUGGCGAAGGCAGCACUCUGGGACGGUACUGACGCUGAGACGCGAAAAGCGUGGGGAGCGAACAGG